CCCCAGACUCCUACGGGAGGCAGCAGUGGGGAAUAUUGCACAAUGGGGGAAACCCUGAUGCAGCGACGCCGCGUGAGUGAAGAAGUAUUUCGGUAUGUAAAGCUCUAUCAGCAGGGAAGAAAAUGACGGUACCUGACUAAGAAGCCCCGGCUAACUACGCGCCAGCAGCCGCGGUAAUACGUAGGGGGCAAGCGUUAUCCGGAUUUACUGGGUGUAAAGGGAGCGUAGACGGCAUGGCAAGUCAGAUGUGAAAGCCCGGGGCUCAACCCCGGGACUGCAUUUGAAACUGUCAGGCUGGAGUGCAGGAGAGGUAAGUGGAAUUCCUAGUGUAGCGGUGAAAUGCGUAGAUAUUAGGAGGAACACCAGUGGCGAAGGCGGCUUACUGGACUGUAACUGACGUUGAGGCUCGAAAGCGUGGGGAGCAAACAGGAUUAGAUACCCCAGUAUGA
rnacentral:rRNA from 1 species